AGCUUGACUGAUGCCUUUUUAUGUAACAUUUCUUGUAAUAUUCCCUUUCAAAGUAAGUGAAAACUGAAUAAUUUCUUUUCAAUUGUACUGAAUAUU